rnacentral:rRNA from 1 species
CCUACGGGUGACAGCAGUGAGGAAUAUUGGUCAAUGGGCGCGAGCCUGAACCAGCCAAGUCGCGUGAGGGAGGACGGCCCUACGGGUUGUAAACCUCUUUUGCCGGGGAGCAAUGACCGUCACGUGUUGCGCCAGUGAGCUUACCCUGAGAAAAAGCAUCGGCUAACUCCGUGCCAGCAGCCGCGGUAAUACGGAGGCUGCGAGCGUUCUCCGGAUUUAUUGGGUUUAAGGGGUGCGUAGGCGGAUCGUUAAGUCAGUGGUCAAAUUGAGGGGCUCAACCCCUUCCCGCCAUUGAAACUGGGGUUCUUGAGUGGAAGAGAAGUAUGCGGAAUGCGUGGUGUAGCGGUGAAAUGCAUAGAUAUCACGCAGAACCCCGAUUGCGAAGGCAGCAUGCCGGCUUCCGACUGACGCUGAGGCACGAAAGCGUGGGGAUCGAACAGGAUUAGAUACCCUAGUAGUC